CACGCCGUAAACGAUGAGCGCUAGGUGUUGGGGGUAUUGACCCCCCCAGUACCGCAGCUAACGCGUUAAGCGCUCCGCCUGGGGAGUACGGCCGCAAGGCUAAAACUCAAAGGAAUUGACGGGGGCCCGCACAAGCGGUGGAGCAUGUGGUUUAAUUCGACGCAACGCGCAAAACCUUACCUGGGUUAAAUCCGCCGGAACCUGUCUGAAAGGAUGGGGUGCCCUUCGGGGAAUCGGUGAGAAGGUGC
rnacentral:rRNA from 1 species